rnacentral:rRNA from 1 species
CUGCAGCUCAAGUGGUGAUCAUUAUUAUUGGGCCUAAAACGUCCGUAGCCUGUUUAGUAAAUGCCUGGGUAAAUCGUGUAGCUUAACUAUACGAAUUCCGGGUAGACUGCUAAACUUGAGACCGGGAGAGGCUAGAGGUACUCCUGGGGUAGAGUUGAAAUUCUGUAAUCCUAGGGGGACCACCAGUGGCGAAGGCGUCUAGCUAGAACGGGUCUGACGGUGAGGGACGAAGCCCUGGGGCACAAACCGGAUUAGAUACCCGAGUAGUCC